rnacentral:lncRNA from 1 species
CGUGCCUGCGCGGUGACAGCAGGCCGGCUUCUCUGGCCGCCUGGCCUCCCGGCCUCCUGAUGAACUUCUUUCCCCUCCCCUCUGGCUCCGUUCCCUGGAAGGGUUUUUUUUGUGUUUUUUUUUUGCUCUGCAAUGGGAAGAGGCCAGGGCGGCAGCCUAUAGUAAUGUGUUCAGGCCGGCUCUAAGUUGUUUCCGUCUAUUUGUUUAUCGGUGUUAAGGAAGAGCUGUGCAGCGUCUCCUGUGAGCCUGGUGUUGAGCCAGCUCAAGCAGUGCGGGUCGGAAGGUGCCUGCGGGAGAUGGGGGUGCUGCUGGAACGGACCUCAGGAGCAUCCGUCAUUUUCUUCUCUCAGCAAACAGGAGAAGAGCUGCCGUGCUUCCUUCUGGUCCUUAGUACUGGGUGCCUGUUGGCUUUUUCAGGUGGCUUCACUUCUAGGUUACAAAUCCAAAACUGGGCUCUUGGGGAGAGAUAUAACAUAUUCUGCAAUGAAGGCACCAGCUCUGUGCUAAAUGAGCUGCUCUCUGCCAGAUCCAGACUUGGUCUGGGCUGUGACCCCACAGAAAUGCCGAGUGUUUCCAAGGAAGCAGGCCUCUGCUGGAAGCUGAGAGGAAAAAGAACCUCUGCUUUUUGUGUUCCUGAAGAACAGCGAGCCUAGUGUCAAGAACCCUUCUUUUCCAGUGUCAGGCCUGAUAUUUGGCCAUUGGUACAUUUAUUACAUUGGAUCCCUUCUGUCCUGCUCCUGGAGAACUGCACAGCAGACAGCUGGGCAAGCCAUGGCUGAACCUGGACUAUGGAUUUCCCAUCGACAUAGGACAGAAAUACUCAGAGAAGAAAAGCACCAGGUCUGACAUGACAGUGCUGAGAAGAGCUUCCAGCUGAAUUAAUAGUUGCACCAGGAAACUGUUGGACUAUCUACAUGGACUUGUUUUAUUAUCUAAACCCAAAAUUCAGUUUGACUUGUCACGUCUAGCUGGAAGUAGAGUGCAUAAAACAGGCUGAAAUUCCAAGUGUGAGUAUAAUGAAAUAUUUAACCCUGGUACCCUAUUCAGCCAUUGCUUAGGGUUCCUUUCAGUUUUUCGAAAAAAGUAGAUUUUCUUCCAGUUUUUCCCCAGAAAACCUGUUAACAGUUAUCAUUUCUUAUUGCAAGAAGGGCUGAAAAAUUUGGCAUCUGGACAUCAUCACCUUAUGGCAUGUUGCACCUGAGCAAAAACUUACCCCCACACUUAACAAAAGCAGAAUCCUUGGAAGGAACAGUUGUAGCACUUGAAGUGCUAUUUAGGCUGUCAGUUCUCUUUCCAUAAAUGUUUUUAAAUCAGGGAUUUAAAUUAAGCACCCACAUUAAUCACUCUCAAACUAAUCAGUGAAUUGAUUCCAAAUCUGGCAGCCAGUCAGUGUUGAUACGAGAUUUGCUGCAUGUAUACUCACAAAUUUUGUUUGCACAGUGUUUUAUUGCAAAUAUAAAAAGGCAAAUGCAGUUGUCAAUUAUGAAUGAAAUUGAAUCAGGACAAACUGAAGUAUGAAACUGGUGUAUAUACACUCAGCAGCCUGUCAGUAUGGACAAAACCACCUGAGAUUUGACAUCUUAUUUGAUAGAUCUUCUUGUAAAUAAUAAAUCACCUUUUCUUUCUGCA